UUUAAAUAAAUGAUUACAAAGCCCAGUCGAAUUGUAAUCGAAUUGAAACGUUGUGUCUUGAUUACAAUUCGACUGGGCUUUGUAAUCAUUUAUUUA